rnacentral:rRNA from 1 species
AGAGUUUGAUCAUGGCUCAGGAUGAACGCUAGCUACAGGCUUAACACAUGCAAGUCGAGGGGAAACGACAUCGAAGGCUUGCUUUUGAUGGGCGUCGACCGGCGCACGGGUGAGUAACGCGUAUCCAACCUGCCCACCACUUGGGGAUAACCUUGCGAAAGUAAGACUAAUACCCAAUGAUAUCUCUAGAAGACAUCUGAAAGAGAUUAAAGAUUCAUCGGUGAUGGAUGGGGAUGCGUCUGAUUAGCUUGUUGGCGGGGUAACGGCCCACCAAGGCAACGAUCAGUAGGGGUUCUGAGAGGAAGGUCCCCCACCAUUGGAACUGAGACACGGUCCAAACUCCUACGGGAGGGCAGCU